rnacentral:rRNA from 1 species
GGAGGAAAAGAAACCAACUGGGAUUACCUUAGUAACGGCGAGUGAAGCGGUAAAAGCUCAAAUUUGAAAUCUGGUACUUUCAGUGCCCGAGUUGUAAUUUGUAGAAUUUGUCUUUGAUUAGGUCCUUGUCUAUGUUCCUUGGAACAGGACGUCAUAGAGGGUGAGAAUCCCGUUUGGCGAGGAUACCUUUUCUCUGUAAGACUUUUUCGAAGAGUCGAGUUGUUUGGGAAUGCAGCUCAAAGUGGGUGGUAAAUUCCAUCUAAAGCUAAAUAUUGGCGAGAGACCGAUAGCGAACAAGUACAGUGAUGGAAAGAUGAAAAGAACUUUGAAAAGAGAGUGAAAAAGUACGUGAAAUUGUUGAAAGGGAAGGGCAUUUGAUCAGACAUGGUGUUUUUUGCAUGCACUCGCCUCUCGUGGGCUUGGGCCUCUCAAAAAUUUCACUGGGCCAACAUCAAUUCUGGCAGCAGGAUAAAUCAUUAAGAAUGUAGCUACUUCGGUAGUGUUAUAGCUUUUUGGAAUACUGUUAGCCGGGAUUGAGGACUGCGCUUCGGCAAGGAUGUUGGCAUAAUGGUUAAAUGCCGCCCGUC